rnacentral:misc_RNA from 1 species
UUUUUUUUUUUUUUUUUUAUGUAUGUUACAUCAGAACUUUUGACCGGGUAGACCGAUUUCGACAAAUUUUGUUUUAAUCGAAAGGUGGUGUGUGUCAAUUGGUCCCAUUUAAAUUUAUUUGAGAUCUAACAACUACUUUUCGAGUUAUAUCUAAUAAUGCGUUUUUACUUGACGCUUUUUUCGUCGACCUACGUUGUAUUAUACCGCAUAACUUUCUACUGGAUAUACCGAUUUUGAUAAUUCUUUUUUGUUGGAA